UCUGGGUACUUCAGAUGCUCUGAACAGCACAUUUCUCUUCCUCUGGACUGGGUUCAAGAAAAACUUCAAAGUCUACUAUUGCUCAGUGAAAUGAAUACUACUAAUGGCAUUAAUUCACGGAUUCCAGUUGGACUCUCCGUCUAAGAGUAACUGGCAGUAAAACACAGAUAGACAAGAAAAACUUCUGGCAAAAAAGAGUGGAAUGACAAACCUGUACCUACAGGUUCCCAAAAAAUUGCUUUACAAAAUAACUUCCUUCCUGUACAUAUUUUUAGAUUUAAGCUUUUCUGACAAUCUGUUUUACAAAGCUCAGAUAAAACUAUUGAAACGAGAGCUGAAAUGGAUCUCUGCUUUGGUUCA